CGAGUCCGCCCGGUCCGCGCGGCCGUAAGCCAGGACACCCUCCUGGUGACAGACUCGAAGGAGCCGGGGAAUCCGAGGACCAAGCGGAAGCGCUCUAGUUCCGGGCUGGGCCGGAAACGCUGAGCCGAAGGUGCCUUCUCUCACCCCAGAGUCGUUUUGAGAUCUGCAGAUGUAAGCGGCUGCAGCAGGAAAAUGUCCACUGAGUGUGCCUUUCCUGGGGAGAAAUGUUCAGUGUGACUGACCAGCAACAAGAAGUCAGGAGCGGAGGGGUGGCAAACCAGAAAGCCUGUGGGCUAGAUCCCAGACAGACACGGUGCGAAGAGGAUGUAACGAGGUUGGAGAGCAAAGAGAGAAAUGGCAGGUACCGCGGGAAAAGGGCAUCUGCAGACUUGCCAGCUUGAAUCGGGGUGUCCUGAGACUGAGCAAUGAGACACCCCAGCCUCAACCUCCUUCCUUCCUGCCCACAUCGGGAGCUGCACGUUGUGGUUCUUCAAAAUUUAAAGAUGACAGGAGUUUUUGGACUCGGGUUGUCAGCUCUGAGGGAGCGUGCUUGCCUGCCUGGCUUCUGCCCUACACCCCUAAAACAAAUGGGAACUCCAAACUACGACAAGCCCUCCUUCUUGACGAGUAAUAUAGAUUUUCCCUGUAUAUCUUUGGACAUCACAUUUUAGUUCAAUGUUUGUGUGGGGUGAGGCUGCCGGCCUUGCUGUAUUUAUCACACACAAGAGAUUUUUACGUUGAUGACUCUACUGAUCUCUCCCAAACUGGCUUCCAACUUGUCAGCUUCUUUCCUCCCUCCCUCCCUCCCUCUCUUCCCCCUCCCUCCCUUCCUCCCUCCCAUGUGCACAUGGUUUGCCUAUGUGAGUCACUCAUGCAUCUGGCGAUUAGAAUACCACUUUGGGUGUUGGUCCUUGUGUUCCACCUUGCUUGAGACAGUUUUUCCAAUUUCUUGCCCCAAAUCUGGGCUGAAAGGACUGCAAGAACGUAGACACCUCGCCAGGUGAGACUUUCCUUCAGUUAAUCACUCUUUUCUGCCGCUGUCCGUAUUUCACCAAAAGGAAGUCUAGGGACAGACACAUUUUCCUGGGCCUUUCAGUCUCCAUUUCUGAUGGCUUUAAUGUAUCAUAAAAUUUCAUUUGAAUAAAUUU